CUGAGUACGGCGGAACACGUGAAAUUCCGUCGGAAUCCGGGAGGACCAUCUCCCAAGGCUAAAUACUCCCUAGUGACCGAUAGUGAACCAGUACCGUGAGGGAAAGGUGAAAAGCACCCCGGAAGGGGAGUGAAACAGUUCCUGAAACCGUGUGCCUACAAGUAGUUAGAGCCCGUUAAUGGGUGAUAGCGUGCCUUUUGUAGAAUGAACCGGCGAGUUACGAUUUGUUGCAAGGUUAAGCGGAAAAAGCGGAGCCGUAGCGAAAGCGAGUCUGAAUAGGGCGCAUAAGUAACAGGUCGUAGACCCGAAACCAGGUGAUCUACCCAUGUCCAGGAUGAAGGUAAGGUAAUACUUACUGGAGGUCCGAACCCACGCACGUUGAAAAGUGCGGGGAUGAGGUGUGGGUAGCGGAGAAAUUCCAAUCGAACUUGGAGAUAGCUGGUUCUCUCCGAAAUAGCUUUAGGGCUAGCCUCGAGGUAAAGAGUCAUGGAGGUAGAGCACUGUUUGGACUAGGGGCCCUUCUCGGGUUACCGAAUUCAGAUAAACUCCGAAUGCCAUGUACUUAUACUCGGGAGUCAGACUGCGAGUGAUAAGAUCCGUAGUCGAAAGGGAAACAGCCCAGACCACCAGUUAAGGUCCCCAAAUAUAUGUUAAGUGGAAAAGGAUGUGGGGUUGCUUAGACAACCAGGAUGUUGGCUUAGAAGCAGCCACCAUUGAAAGAGUGCGUAAUAGCUCACUGGUCGAGUGACCCCGCGCCGAAAAUGUACCGGGGCUAAACAUAUUACCGAAACUGUGGAUGAACCUCUUUAGAGGUUCGUGGUAGGAGAGCGUUCUAAGGGCGGUGAAGUCAGACCGGAAGGACUGGUGGAGCGCUUAGAAGUGAGAAUGCCGGUAUGAGUAGCGAAAGAAGGGUGAGAAUCCCUUCCACCGAAUAUCUAAGGUUUCCUGAGGAAGGCUCGUCCGCUCAGGGUUAGUCGGGACCUAAGCCGAGGCCGAUAGGCGUAGGCGAUGGACAACAGGUAGAGAUUCCUGUACCAGUGCUAAUUGUUUAACCGAUGGGGUGACACAGAAGGAUAGGGAAUCGCACGAAUGGAAAUGUGCGUCCAAGCAGUGAGUGUG
rnacentral:rRNA from 2 species